AGCAGCCGCGGUAAUUCCAGCUCCAAUAGCGUAUAUUAAAGUUGUUGCAGUUAAAAAGCUCGUAGUUGAAUUUCGGGGUCGGUAGAUUGGUCAUGCCUCUGGUAUGCACUGGUCUUACUGGCUCCUCCUUCCUGAUGAGCCGUAAUGCCAUUAAUUUGGUGUUGCGGGGAAUCUGGACUGUUACUUUGAAAAAUUAGAGUGUUUAAAGCAGGCUAACGCUUGAAUACAUUAGCAUGGAAUAAUGGAAUAGGACGUUCGAUCCUAUUUUGUUGGUUUCUAGGAUUGACGUAAUGAUUAAUAGGGAUAGUUGGGGGCAUUAGUAUUCAAUUGUCAGAGGUGAAAUUCUUGGAUUUAUUGAAGACUAACUACUGCGAAA
rnacentral:rRNA from 1 species